UGGCCUCCGGGAGGGGGGGUCCUGGGGGCACCGCCCCCCCCCUCCCCCUUGGCGCCGCUCGCGUGCCCCCGGGGACUUUUGCACUACCGGGGCCGGGGGGAUCUGGCCGCCGGCCAAUGGGAGGGGGCGCCGCUGGGGCGGGAUCCGGUCGCCGGCCAAUGGGGAGGGAGGACGGGAGCGGGGCGGGGCCGGCGUUUGGCCAAUGGGGGCGGAGGCGGCGGCUGGGCGGGGCAGGAAGGGGGCUCCGGCCAAUGGGGAGCGAUGGCGGAGUGGGAUCUGCUCUCGAGCCAAUCGGGAGCGAGUUCCUGUAGGGGCGGGGGCCGGUGGUCAGCCAAUGGGGAGCGGGUUCCUGUUGAGGUGGGGUCCAGUGGUCAGCCAGUCAGGAGCGGGGGCAGGAGCUGGUCUCAAGCCAAUCAGGAGCGAGCUGCAGCGGUGCAGGAUCUGGUCUCGAGCCAAUCAGGAGUGAGCUGCGGGGAUGUGGGAUCUGGGCUCGAGCCAAUCAGAAGGGGGCAGGGGGCGGGGCAGGAUCGAGACUCAAGCCAAUCGGGAACGACCUCCGGUUGGGUUGGGAGCCAGCGUUGAGCCAAUCAGGAACGGGUUCCCCUUGAGCUGGGAUCCAGUGUUCGGCCAAUCAGGAGCGGCAUGCUGCAGGGGCAGGAGCCAAUGGGGAGCAGCGUCCAGGCGAGCUGGGAUCCAGUGCCGGGCCAAUCAGGAGCGAGCUGGGGGGGAUCCGGCCUCCGCCCGGCCAGCAGCGACUCUGGGUCGAGAUGGGAUCCGGCCAGGAUCCAAUCGGGAGUGACGUUGGAUUGGAGGGGCGGAUCCGGUUUCCAUCCAGUGGGGAGUCGGGCCGGGCGGGGGCGGGAUCUGGUCUUCAGCCAAUCAGGGGGCGUUCUGGGAAGGGCUGGGCCAAUCAGGAGCCAGGCCGGGCUGGGGCGGGAUCCAGUCUUCAGCCAAUCAGGAGUCAUUCUGGGUAGGCCUGGCGCCAAUCAGGAGCCAGGCCGGGUUGGGGGCGGGAUCGAGCGCAGAGCCAAUCAGGAGUGGCGCUGGGUUGGGGAAGGAUCUAGUGUGGAGCCAAUCAGGAGUGGUUCUGGGCUGGGAAGGGACACAGGGCAGAGCCAAUCGGGAGUGACCUUGGCUUGGGGCGGGAUCUACCAUGGAGCCAAUCAGGAGAGAGCGUGGGUCUCGGCGGGGGGGGAACCAUCAGAGCCAAUCAGGAGCGACUGUGAGCUGGGGGGGAUCCGGUGUCCGUCCAAUAGGAAGCGACGGCGGCCCCCAGGGGAGGGGGGCUCCUCCCCCCAGACCCCCAAAAUCGCGCGAUUUCCCCCCAGACCC
rnacentral:lncRNA from 1 species